rnacentral:rRNA from 1 species
CUCACUAUAGGCGAUGGAUUAGCGCCGCGAUCGCCCUUGUGCCAGCAGCCGCGGUAAUUCCAGCUCCAAUAGCGUAUAUUAAAGUUGUUGUGGUUAAAAAGCUCGUAGUUGGAUCUCGGCGGACUGAGGGCGGUUUGCUUGCUAGUAUUACUGCCCUAUAGUCCGUAGUUUUGCCAGAGGUUUCGGGGUGCUCUUAAUCGAGUGUCCCGGGAUGCUGGCAGGUUUACUUUGAAAAAAUUAGAGUGCUCAAAGCAGGCUAUUACGCCUGAAUAUUCGUGCAUGGAAUAAUAGAAUAGGAAGUCGUUUCUAUUUUGUUGGUUUUCGGAAAUCGACUUAAUGAUUAAUAGGGACAGUCGGGGGCAUUUGUAUUCAAACGACAGAGGUGAAAUUCUUGGACCGUUUGAAGACAAACUACUGCGAAAGCAUUUGCCAAGAAUGUUUUCAUUAAUCAAGAACGAAAGUUAAAGGUUCGAAGGCGAUUAGAUACCGCCCUAGUUUUAACCAUAAACGAUGCCAGCUAGCGAUCUGCGGACGUUUUUUUUGUAGACUCCGCAGGAAGCUUCCGGGAAACCAAAGCAUUUGGGUUCCAGGGGAAGUAUGGUUGCAAAGCUGAAACUUAAAGGAAUUGACGGAAGGGCACCACCAGGAGUGGAGCCUGUGGCUUAAUUUGACUCAACACGGGAAAUCUCACCAGGCCCGGACACUGGAAGGAUUGACAGAUUGAUAGCUCUUUCUUGAUUCGGUGGGUGGUGGUGCAUGGCCGUUCUUAGUUGGUGGAGUGAUUUGUCUGGUUAAUUCCGAUAACGAACGAGACUCUGUCCUGCUAAAUAGUGUCUGCUUCUCUUUUGAGCAGACAAUUCUUCUUAGAGGGACUGGCGACUCUUAGUCGCACGAGAUUGAGCAAUAACAGGUCUGUGAUGC